AAAAUACCAUAGAAGGAAAAAGUAACGGAGCAAACAGUAACGAAGAGAGAGAAUUCCCUGGCUGUAAGAAUUCUUGUUAACUGACUCACGUGAAAGACAUUCUGGAGGUUUCGUGCUGAAGUUGAGUAAGUAUGAACGUAGGCAGGCGUUAACUGUUUGAGUGGGAGUAUGCGUACUUCAACUAGGGUGGCAACACGGGUAAUCUCUCGUCCCUUUU
rnacentral:ncRNA from 1 species